GACGAACGCUGGCGGCGUGCUUAACACAUGCAAGUCGAACGGAAAGGCCCUGCUUUUGUGGGGUGCUCGAGUGGCGAACGGGUGAGUAACACGUGAGUAACCUGCCCUUGACUUUGGGAUAACUUCAGGAAACUGGGGCUAAUACCGGAUAGGAGCUCCUGCUGCAUGGUGGGGGUUGGAAAGUUUCGGCGGUUGGGGAUGGACUCGCGGCUUAUCAGCUUGUUGGUGGGGUAGUGGCUUACCAAGGCUUUGACGGGUAGCCGGCCUGAGAGGGUGACCGGCCACAUUGGGACUGAGAUACGGCCCAGACUCCUACGGGAGGCAGCAGUGGGGAAUAUUGCACAAUGGGCGGAAGCCUGAUGCAGCAACGCCGCGUGCGGGAUGACGGCCUUCGGGGUGGAAACCGCUUUCGCCUGUGACGAAGCGGGAGGGACGGUAAUGGGUAAAGAAGCACCGGCUAACUACGUG
rnacentral:rRNA from 1 species